UCACCAACGACCGAUACCUCAGCCCCGACGGCCCCGGAGCCGCGAGAGCCGCCCGGCGCCGGCUGCGAUUUCUUUGGGACGAGUGAGCGAAAGGAACCUACAGCUUGGACUUACCGCCACUGAACCGCGAGAGAAGCUAUACGUGUUUAUUUCCCCUUAAAUUAUUUUUAUAAUGGUAGCUUUUUCUACAUCUUACUCCUGUUGAUGCAGCUAAGGUACAUUUGUAAAAAGAAAAUGACUUUCCAGACAAACUCUUUGUAUUGUAGAUAAAAGGUUUUUAAAAGACUGAGCAUGCUCAAUUUUUUAUAUUAAUUUUUACAGUAUUUGUAAGAAUAAAGCAUUUAAAAUCGCCCCUGCUUCCUGUAUUCGCAGUGAUUCGUACACCGGCGCGCCAAGGACCCGCCUGGGAAGGGCGCAAUCCAGGACCUGGUGGGCGGCGAGCACCUGCAACCUCCGCACCAGGUGUGUGCGGGAACGGACUUCCAGGGGGCGAAGGUUGCUUGCUCUUGAAGCGUGCCAGUCACUACCUCCACAUGUUGUUUGGCUUGGCGAAGGUCCGUGAAGCCCAACUAGGGACUUGAAUUACUGUAGCAGCUUUCCAGCGGAAGGUGCUCCCCACAAAGGAUCCAGAUUGAGUUGGGCAGCUGGUGGAUUUGGGACCCUGCUGAGAACACCCCAAGAACUCCCUAACCUUAGAUGGCUGCUUGAGGGCUUGACCACAUAACAGCAAAGGCAUGAAAUUGAUGCUCACAUACUCUAACCAGAAAUAGUACGUUUGCUGAAGGGAAUGGUUCUUGUGGAAAGUCCUAAUUUGAUUCUUUUGGAUUUUGGUAAAUGUGCAUUCCCACCCCUCAAAACCGACAGAGCACAGACUGGUAACUUGCUGUUUAUGUCUACAUGCAAGCCUUUGAUGGCCAUCUUCUCUCAACUCUUUUCCAAGUCAUAUGCAAAGGCCUGAUUAGCCAUGAUGGGAAAAUGGAGGCCUCAUGUGACUUGUGGCUUUUAGGUGGAGCCAGCUGUCUCCAGGACCUCUGCAUUCACCACCCUCCUUUUCCUCAUCAACUCAUGACGACAUUUGUGUUUCAUCACCAGCAUCAAAGGGAGAAACUGAAAAGAGAAGAUCCAAAUGGCCUCCCCACAACCAAGAAGUACUCAAUCUCACAAAGCAGGGCAUAUUUAUUUAAAGCAACAAGAGACAGAAGGAUCACAAUUUUUGUUGUUGAUAAAG